AUACGAACCGCCCAAACGUUAUUCGGAAUCACUGGGCUUAAAGGGUGCGUAGGCGGCCGUGCAGGUGGGAUGUGAAAGCCCUCGGCUCAACCGAGGAAUUGCGUCUCAAACCGUGCGGCUCGAGGGAGACAGAGGUGAGCGGAACUUGCAGUGGAGCGGUGAAAUGCGUUGAUAUUGCAAGGAACACCCGUGGCGAAAGCGGCUCACUGGGUCUCUUCUGACGCUGAGGCACGAAAGCUAGGGUAGCGAACAGGAUUAGAAACCCCAGUAGUCC
rnacentral:rRNA from 1 species